rnacentral:lncRNA from 1 species
GUCUAUAAGCAACUUCAAAAAGAAUGACAAUUGAUUGUUGAGCUCCUUACUUGUAUGGUGGAAACUAUUCCAAAUCCUUCAGAUAUUUUGUUUUCUUAAUAAAAUAAACAUAAGUGCCUUGCCAAUCCUAUGAGAGAGUAUAAUAGGUUAUAAAAAUGGAUCCAUCUUUCCACCCUUCCUGAUAAACAUACCCCCAUUACACAGUGGUUUUGCUGAUUUUCUGUCAAGAGUAGAGUCUAUUUCUCUACUCCUUAAAUGUGAGCUGGCCUUAUGACUUGCUUAGACCCAAUGCUCCAGAAGUGACUGAGUCAAUUCUAAGUCUAAGCCUCAAGAGGCCUUGUAUGCUUCAACUCCCCCCCAGUUCAAUUCUUUUGGAACCUUGACAGUUACCAUGUAAAGAAGCCCAGGCUAGCUUGGUGAAAGAUGGGAUACCACAUAAACCAGACAUUUCCCAACUCACCUGGUAACUGGACUCAGAUGCAUGAAUAAGCCCAGCUGAGACAGGAG